UUCAGUUCCUGUUUCCUAUCUGUUGUUCCCAAAUUAUGUACACCUGUGUCUUAAUUUACACUUUGUGUAUAUAACCAUGUGUUUCCUUGUGCUUUGUGGGCCUUUUCACAAGCCAUGGUGAUAAUGUUGUGUAGCUCAAUUCUGAUUUCCGUGUUUCAUCUGCAUUUGGAUCCUGCUGUCCCUAAUGUCUGAGUUUGCCCACAUUCCAAAAAUAUGCUUAUUUAAUGUACAUGUUUUUCAGCUCGUCUGCCUGUUCCUGUCAUCACCAGUAACUCUUCAAACUGUUCUUCAUCAUCAUCAUCUGAAAGAUCAUCAGUGUCUAAAUGUUCACUGCUGUGUUCAGUGUUGAAUGUGAGUGAUGUGACUCUCUCCUGGUACAAAGGAAACGGUUUAUUGUCCAGCAUCAGUGUGUCUGAUCUCAGCAUCAGUCUCUCUCUACCUCUGGAGGUGGAAUAUCAGGAUAAAAACACCUACAGCUGUGUGCUCAACAAUCCCAUCAGCAACCAGACCAGACAUCUGGACAUCAGUCAGCUCUGUCAGACAUGUACAGGUAGCGCUCAUCAGUGAUCUGUCUUUUAAUGUAACAAUGUAAAGGUAUGUCCACAUAGGUGUUUUUUUUACUAAGCUAAAUAGCUUUUUUUGAUACUUUGGUACUUUUACAUAUAAAACAGUACUUUAGUUCAGACCAUUUUUGUUAAUUAUACCAACAGCUUACAGUAGUGUGGUAGGGUAGUGCAAGAUAAAAAAUUAAGGCAUGACCGCAUAUUUAUAUACUGGAAGUCAAAAUGAAAAUGUAUUUAAAGGGUAUUCUGUACAAUGAAUGUAAAUUCAAUUCCUUUUCUGCCUUCAUAUCACUGCUGUUCCAUAAAUAGUAUUUCUAUUUCUUCUUUAAAGGCACAGGUGAAUGAUAAUUGUUGUUUUUCCUUUCAAUUUCAGAUUGCAAUUCACCAUGGCUUGUUGCAGCAUUAACAUUUGCGGUAGUACUGGCUAUGCUAGCAAUUGUGAUGGGCUGUCUUUACAGGAAAUACAGAACAUCAAGGCCAAAAGUGAAUUAUUUUGAACCAUCUGCACAUGCAGCUGAAACGGUUCAGACAGACGACAGUGAGCUAGCUUAUGCCGAAACAACAUUUUUACCUAAUGUUCAAAACAAGAAGCCUAGGACAGAAGAGACCAUAUACUCCACCGUCAAUGGACACUGAUCGAACAUGCAGCAGUCUCUCAUUUCACCACAAUGGCUUUGCACACCUGCAUCUGUCAGCAUUACAACACUUGAUUGAGGAGAGAGAACCCUGAUUUGCUCUUGAUUUUCUUUGCUUUUAACAUAAAAGGAAACGUUUUAAAGAACUUUGGGGUCCAAACAACAUUGGGCCACAUUCACUCUUACCGUGUAAAAAAUAUUGUAUAAAGACAUUUUUCAAAAUAUCUUCGUCAUAUCAUACAGGCUUGGUAUGACAUGAUGGUGAGUAAAUGAUGACAAUAAGUUGAUCGAAUUUUGUGGCAGAACCAGCAUGUCUAAUAUAUAGGAAAUAAAAGACUGAAGAACUAGUUCAACAUUGGCCGGGUUUUUUAUUUAUUUUUUAUUUUUUUGCAUAUCCAAAUUCCCCUCUAACAAAUCUACAUUCUGCAUGGAGGUGACACGGCAGAGUUAAAAUGACCAUUAAAAAAAAUGACAAAGAGAGCGAUUACUUCAUUAUUGUACGAAAGUGCAGUAUGUGAUUAAGAUCAGAAACUUCAUGAAUGUCAUGUUUAUGUUCUCUCAGCUAGUCUGAUACUAAAAAAACUGGCAGUUAUUCAUGUCCUCAGGGUUCUUAUGUAAAGCCACAAGACUCCACCCCAACCCCUGCUAUCCUUCCC
rnacentral:lncRNA from 1 species